UAGAAAUACUAGUAAUAGUAGGGGCGGAUGUAGCCAAGUGGAUCAAGGCAGUGGAUUUGU
rnacentral:tRNA from 1 species